UACAUACUCCCUCCAUCCGAAAAUACUUGUCAUCAAAAUGGAUAAAAAGAGAUGUAUCUAGAACUAAAAUAUGUCUAGAUACAUCCCCUUUUAUCCAUUUUGAUGACAAGUAUUUCCGGACGGAGGGAGUAUAUC
rnacentral:pre_miRNA from 1 species